rnacentral:rRNA from 1 species
UCCAGACUCCUACGGGAGGUAGCAGUGGGGAAUAUUGCACAAUGGGGGGAACCCUGAUGCAGCGACGCCGCGUGGGUGAAGGAGCGUUUCGGCGCGUAAAGCCCUAUCGGCAGGGAAGAAGGAGGACGGUACCUGACUAAGAAGCCCCGGCUAACUACGUGCCAGCAGCCGCGGUAAUACGUAGGGGGCAAGCGUUAAUCGGAAUUACUGGGCGUAAAGCGCUCGUAGGCGGUAUGUCAAGUCAAGGGUGAAAUCCCCGCGCUCAACGUGGGAACUGCCUUUGAAACUGGCAAACUGGAGUGUGUGAGAGGAUAGUGGAAUUCCAGGUGUAGGAGUGAAAUCCGUAGAUAUCUGGAGGAACAUCAGUGGCGAAGGCGACUAUCUGGCACAUAACUGACGCUGAGGAGCGAAAGCGUGGGUAGCAAACAGGAUUAGAUACCCGGGUAAA